rnacentral:rRNA from 1 species
AACGAACGCUGGCGGCAUGCCUAACACAUGCAAGUCGAACGAAGCCUUCGGGCUUAGUGGCGCACGGGUGCGUAACACGUGGGAAUCUGCCCUUCGGUUCGGAAUAACAGUUAGAAAUGACUGCUAAUACCGGAUGAUGACGAAAGUCCAAAGAUUUAUCGCCGAAGGAUGAGCCCGCGUAGGAUUAGGUAGUUGGUAGGGUAAUGGCCUACCAAGCCGACGAUCCUUAGCUGGUCUGAGAGGAUGAUCAGCCACACUGGGACUGAGACACGGCCCAGACUCCUACGGGAGGCAGCAGUGGGGAAUAUUGGACAAUGGGCGAAAGCCUGAUCCAGCAAUGCCGCGUGAGUGAUGAAGGCCUUAGGGUUGUAAAGCUCUUUUACCAGGGAUGAUAAUGACAGUACCUGGAGAAUAAGCUCCGGCUAACUCCGUGCCAGCAGCCGCGGUAAU